rnacentral:rRNA from 1 species
GAUGAACGCUGGCGGCGUGCCUAAUACAUGCAAGUCGAGCGAACAGACGAGAGUGCUUGCACUCUCUGACGUUAGCGGCGGCCGGGUGAGUAACACGUGGGUAACCUACCUAUAAGACUGGGAUAACUUCGGGAAACCGGAGCUAAUACCGGAUAAUAUUUAGCUUCGCAUGAAGCAAUAGUGAAAGACGGUUCUGCUGUCACUUAUAGAUGGACCCGCGGUGUAUUAGCUAGUUGGUGAGGUAACGGCUCACCAAGGCAACGAUACAUAGCCGACCUGAGAGGGUGAUCGGCCACACUGGGACUGAGACACGGCCCAGACUCCUACGGGAGGCAGCAGUAGGGAAUCUUCCGCAAUGGACGAAAGUCUGACGGAGCAAUGCCGCGUGAGUGAAGAAGGUUUUCGGAUCGUAAAACUCUGUUGUAAGGGAAGAACAAGUACGUUAGUAACUGAACGUACCUUGACGGUACCUUACCAGAAAGCCACGGCUAACUACGU